AUUCAUUUUAGAGUUUAAAACCCUAAUGCUGAUUAAAGGAAAAAUUCAGUUUAGGGUUUAAAACCCUAAUGCUGAUUGCAUGGAAAAGCUCAGUUUAGGGUUUAAAACCCUAAUGCUGGCUGAAUGGAAAAAAGUUCAGUUUAGGGUUUAAAACCCUAAUGCUGACUAAAGGAAAAAUUCAGUUUAAGGUUUAAAACCCUAAUGCUGACUAAAGGAAAAAUUCAGUUUAGGGUUUAAAACCCUAAUGCUGAUUGCAUGGAAAAGCUCAGUUUAGGGUUUAAAACCCUAAUGCUGGCUGAAUGGAAAACGUUCAGUUUAGGGUUUAAAACCCUAAUGCUGACUAAAGGAAAAUUCAGUUUAGGGUUUAAAACCCUAAUGCUGACUGCAUGGAAGAGCUCAAUUUAGGGUUUAAAACCCUAAUGCUGGCUGAAUGGAAAAAGUUCAGUUUAGGGUUUAAAACCCUAAUGCUGACUAAAGGAAAAUUCAAUUUAGGGUUUAAAACCCUAAUGCUGACUAAAGGAAAAAUUCAGUUUAGGGUUUAAAACCCUAAUGCUGAUUGCAUAGAAAAGCUUAGUUUAGGGUUUAAAACCCUAAUGCUGGCUGAAAGGAAAACGUUCAGUUUAGGGUUUAAAACCCUAAUGCUGACUAAAAGGAAAAUUCAGUUUAGGGUUUAAAACCCUAAUGCUGAUUAAAAGGAAAA
rnacentral:lncRNA from 1 species